rnacentral:rRNA from 1 species
UACGUAGGGGGCAAGCGUUGUCCGGAUUUAUUGGGCGUAAAGAGCGUGUAGGCGGCCAGGUAGGUCAGCUGUGAAAACUCGAGGCUCAACCUCGAGACGCCGGUUGAAACCAUCUGGCUAGAGUCCGGAAGAGGAGAGUGGAAUUCCUGGUGUAGAGGUGAAAUUCGUAGAUAUCAGGAGGAACACCUGUGGUGUAGACAGCUUACUGGACCAUUUCUGACGCUGAGACACGAAAGCGUGGGUAGCAAACAGG